rnacentral:tRNA from 1 species
GCGGCACUAGCUCAGUGGUGGAGCCCCCGCUUCGAAUGCGGGAAGACAUGGGUUCGAUUCCCGGGUGCUUUC